UUGAAAGUAGGGCGCAGCCUGAGAGGCCGGCCGGACCCCGAGUGCUGUAGGCGGGCUGGGAGAUGGGGGCCGCCGCCACCCACAUUCCCACACGCACCCGGCGCCGGCGCCUCACGCCGUGUUAGCUCGCGGCGCCAAGCCCGGAGGGUCCCGCCUGAGGAAGAAAGGUCGUCGCCCGCAGCCCAGCUGGGGCUGGAGGCGCGACCCGGGGUCUCCUCGCCCGCACGCGGAAGAAAAUGGGCGCUGUGGCCUCAGUUUCCCUCUUUUGUUAAAUACAAGUAAGGAACACAGGCAACAUGUUCUACACACAUGUGCUUAUGAGUAAACGAGGGCCAUUGGCCAAAAUAUGGCUUGCAGCUCACUGGGAGAAGAAACUCACAAAGGCCCAUGUAUUUGAAUGUAAUCUAGAGAUAACCAUUGAAAAAAUUCUUUCACCCAAGGUGAAAAUAGCACUUCGAACUUCAGGACACCUUCUUUUGGGAGUUGUUCGAA
rnacentral:lncRNA from 1 species